UACGCUAUCCAAAGAUGAUUGGUCGUUACGAUAUGAUAUCACACAAGAGAGAUUCUGGAAACGAGGCUAACAAAGACCGGCGUGUUAUACUGGAAAACGCGUCCAAGAGACAAGCCGUGGAGGGUCUCAACACUGCUGUGUACCAUGUGACCAAGUUGGAGUUUAAACCGUUAUACACCUGGGUCCAUGUCUUCCUGAACGAGACAGAAAUAUUUCAGGUUUGUUACCUU